GGCGAACGCUGGCGGCAUGCCUUACACAUGCAAGUCGAACGGCAGCGCGGACUUCGGUCUGGCGGCGAGUGGCGAACGGGUGAGUAAUGCAUCGGAACGUACCUUUCAGUGGGGGAUAACGUAGCGAAAGUUACGCUAAUACCGCAUAUUCUGUGAGCAGGAAAGCAGGGGAUCGCAAGACCUUGCGCUGAUUGAGCGGCCGAUGUCAGAUUAGCUAGUUGGUGAGGUAAAGGCUCACCAAGGCGACGAUCUGUAGCGGGUCUGAGAGGAUGAUCCGCCACACUGGGACUGAGACACGGCCCAGACUCCUACGGGAGGCAGCAGUGGGGAAUUUUGGACAAUGGGGGCAACCCUGAUCCAGCCAUGCCGCGUGAGUGAAGAAGGCCUUCGGGUUGUAAAGCUCUUUCGGCCGGGAGCAAAUGCUGGUGGCUAACAUCCACCGGAGCUGAGAGUACCGGAAGAAUAAGCACCGGCUAACUACGUGCCAGCCGCCGCGGUAACAC
rnacentral:rRNA from 1 species